rnacentral:lncRNA from 1 species
GGUGGGCCCGCCCCGGUUCUUCAGCUGUGGGUCGCGGUUCUCGGCUACCACCUUGCCCUCGAUCUCCACCAGCGCGUCGCUGAACCGCUUGAACGUCGCGAGCGCCCUGGCGUCCGAGGUCCACUCCGGGGUGUCGCGCUGGCCCAGGUACACCUCGUCGGAGGAGUGCUUGGAGAGGACCUCGAUGAGCGAGAUGCCGAUGAUGGUCUGGAUCUGGCUGGUGAUGGUGUGGAUGAACCCCAGCUCCGGGUCGCGCUCCAGCUCCGCGUACGCCUCCGUGCCGGGCUCCGGCAUCCGGCGCCGGCUCACCGUGGGCCGGUUCGGGAGGUACCCCGCGU